rnacentral:rRNA from 1 species
UACGGAGGACCCGAGCGUUAUCCGGAUUCAUUGGGUUUAAAGGGUGCGUAGGCGGACGAAUAAGUCAGUGGUGAAAGCCCUUCGCUUAACGAAGGAAUUGCCAUUGAUACUGUUUGUCUUGAGUACAGUUGAGGUGGGCGGAAUGUGUCGUGUAGCGGUGAAAUGCUUAGAUAUGACACAGAACACCGAUUGCGAAGGCAGCUCGCUAAACUGAAACUGACGCUGAGGCACGAAAGCGUGGGGAUCGAACAGG